rnacentral:rRNA from 14 species
ACCCGCUAAGGAGUGUGUAACAACUCACCUGCCGAAUGAAUUAGCCCUGAAAAUGGAUGGCGCUCAAGCGGAUCACUUAUACUCAACCAAUAAAAUAAAUGCGAGAUUUUAUUGAGUAGGGAGGCGUAAAGGUUGCGAUAAAUUUUGUGGCGUAAGCCGGAAUGAAGCGUCCUUUAGUGCAGAUCUUGGUAGUAGUAGCAAAUAUUCAAAUGAGAACUUUGAA